ensembl:misc_RNA Metazoa_SRP Metazoan signal recognition particle RNA
GCUGGGCAUGGUGGCGCAUGCCUGUGGUCCCAGCUACUUGGGAAGCUGAGGCAGGAGGAUCACUUGAGCCCAGGAGAUUGAGGCUGCAGUAAGCCAUGAUUGCACCACUGCACUGCAGCCUGGAUGAUAAAGCGAGACCCUGUCUCAA